GCUCAGAUUCGCCCAGACCGCGAGCCGCUUCCGGAUGCACGCGCAGCAGCAGGGAAAGCAGCAUGGCGCAUCUGAAACCCCAGGGCAGCAACAAGCAACCGCGCCCUCAUGUGGUCCUGAAGCUCUGAGCCCAGACGCUAAGAGCUCUGCUCCUCCCCGCGACAUCAGGGCUGUCAGCAGCACCUUGCACGGAACAGCUCCUCUGGGUCGGGUGCCACACUGAGCGCGUCCUCUCCAUCCCUGGGGCAAGGCCGCCUCUGUCUCCAUUUCACCGAAGUGGUAACUCACACUCAGCGAGACUGAGUGCAGGCUGAGGUCACCCAAAGCACAAACGGUAGAGGCAGAAUUGGAAAACACAUCAGCCUCGGGCUUUCCAUCGGAUUGUUUUUUGACAGGCAGAUUUAGACAGUGAGAGAGAAACAGAGAGACAGAAAGGUCUUCCUUUCCGUUGGUUCACCCCCACAAAUGGCCGCUAUGGCCGGCGCUGCGCCGAUCCAAAGCCAGGAGCCAGGUGCUUCUCCUGGUCUCCCAUGGGGUGCAGGGCCCAAGGACCUGGGCCAUCCUCCACUGCACUCCCGGGCCACAGCAGAGAGCAGGACUGGAAGAGGAGCAUCCGGGACAGAACCCGGCACCCCGACCGGGACUAGAACCCGGGGUGCUGGCGCCACAGGCAGAGGAUUAGCCAAAUGAGCCGCAGCACUGGCCGGAUUGGUUUGUUUUUUUUUUUUUAAGGUUUAUUUAUUUGUUUGAAAGUCAGAGUUACACAAAGAGAGAAGGAGAGGCAAAGAGAGAGACAUCUUCCAUUCUUUGGUUUACUCCCCUGUUGGCUGCAAGAGCCGGAGAUGUGACGAUCUGAAGCCAGGAGCCAGGAGCUUCCUCUGGGUUUUCCACAUGGGUGCAGGGGUCCAAGGACUUGGGCCAUCUUUUACCUGCUUUUCCAGGCCAAAGGAGAGAGCAGGAUCGGAAGUGGAGCAGCCGGGACUCAAACCAGCACCCAUGGCACUGCAGGCGGUGGUUUUACCCACUCCACUACAGUGCUGGCCCCCUCAUUGGAUUGUUGAGUUGCCUGUCUCUAGAGAAUGUGUCAUUUCUUGAACUGCCUCCCAGAAGGAAGCUUACUUUGGGAGGACUUGGCCUAAAAUGUUAGAAAGAUGUACUCUGCAGAGAGCAGGUGCACUACGCAAUGGGCAGGUACACUAUACAGAACUGGUGUGCCAUACAGAGAGCAGGUGUGCCAUACAGACAGCAGGUGCACUACUCAGAGAGCAGGUGCACUAUGCAGAGAACAACAGGUGUGCUGUACAGAAAGCAGGCAAACUAUGCAGAGAACAGGUGCCCUAUGCAAUGGGCAGGUGCACUAUACAGAGAACAGGUGUGCCAUACAGGCAGCAGGUAGGAUAUACAGAGAGCAGGUGCACUACACAGAGAGCAGGUGCACUACACAGAGAGCAGGUGCCCCCCACAGACAGAAGGUUCACACGUACAGCAGGCAUGCUAUAGAAACAGGUGUGCUAUACAGAGUGCAGAAGCUCUACACAGACAGCAGGUGCACUACACAGAGCAGGUGCUGUAUUCAGGGAGCUGAUGUACUGUCCAGAGAGCAGGCACUCUACACAGACAGAGGCUGUACUAUGUACUAUGCAGAGAGCAAACACACAACUUGGUGCAGAGAGCUCUGUGCCCGCAGGGGACAACCUGGAAAAGCCACUGAAAGGGGUGGUGCCUGCACCCACACCCACGGGAAAGAACCCACAAGGAGCUCACUCUCGGUCUUACCCAAUGGAAACGUCUCCCAGCCUGCUGAGCCCCAGACAGUGCAAGGAGGACCAGCU